rnacentral:lncRNA from 1 species
UGUUAUGUUAUGGUGGCCAUCAACGCCAUGCGGCCAUGGUGCCGGUCUUUGUUCAUCAAUAUGUCGCGUUGCUGCAUCAAGGCUUGUUUUUUACAUUUUGAUUAUCAGAAAGGGCAAGCUGAGUCUCAUGGCAUCAAAAUGCACAGGGUUCCGGUGCAUGGAGAUAGCAGGCGAAAGGCCUGGCUGGAUGCCCUCGGCAUCCCAUACACCCACAAGAAACUUUACGUGUGCAGUCGCCAUUUCCGGACAGGAGACUUCCACCGCAGUGGCUACAUCUUACAUAAUGCUGUCCCUUCAAUGAAUCUCGGCACCGGAGGCGACUCGGCACCAGCGCCGCCAUGCGAUGUGCCAGCCGCUGGCGCGGCAGACGGAGGCGACUCGGCACAGGCGCCGCCAUGCGAUGUG